CGAAGCGAGAGAACGUUGCCGCUGGCAAUGGCCCGAAGGCGAGGCGCUUUAGCGCCGAGUAAUCCUUCCCCCACCACCA
rnacentral:sRNA from 1 species